GAUGAAGAACGUAGCGAAAUGCGAUACGUAAUGUGAAUUGCAGAAUUCAGUGAAUCAUCGAAUCCUUGAACGCAUAUUGCGCUCUCUGGUAUUCCGGAGAGCAUGCUUGUUUGAGUAUCAGUAAACACCUCAACUCCCUUUUCUUUUUUGAAAUUGGAGCUGGACUUGAGUGAUCCCAACGCUUUCUUCCAAGAAAGUGGCGGGUUGCUUGAAAUGCAGGUGCAGCUGAACGUUUCUCUGAGCUAUAAGCAUAUCUAUUUAGUCUGCCUAAAAAACAGAUUAUUACCUUUGCUGCAGCUAACAUAAAGGAGACUAGUUCUUGUGCUGACUGAUGCAGGAUUCACAGAGACAGCUUCGGCUGACUUUGUAAACUCGAUCUCAAAUCAAGUAAGACUACCCGCUGAACUUAAGCAUAUCAAUAAGCGGAGGA
rnacentral:misc_RNA from 1 species